UGCACGCUCCUUAGAUCCGUUCCACCCUUAAUGUGAAACGCUUGAGUCAUAAGUGUGCUAGAUCACGAUACCUCCAGACUAAGACUGAGAUGUGAUAUCCCCUAAAUGGAAUACCACUUGUCUUGGAAUGGGGAACAU